rnacentral:misc_RNA from 1 species
AACUUUUGGCAAUGGAUCUCCUCACGCAAUGCAACUUUUGGCAACGGAUCUCUUGGCUCUCGCAUCGAUGAAGAACGCAGCGAAAUGCGAUAAGUAAUGUGAAUUGCAGAAUUCAGUGAAUCAUCGAAUCUUUGAACGCACCUUGCGCUCCUUGGUAUUCCGAGGAGCAUGCCUGUUUGAGUGUCAUCAAAUUCUCAAACCUCUCAAAUUUAUAUAGAGAGGCCUUUGGACUUGGAGUGUUUCUUGCUUCAUUUGUCAGCUCCUCUUAAAUGCAUUAGCUUGUACCUUGUGGAUAAGCUUUGGUUUGAUAAUAUCUAUGCCAUCGCUGUAAAACAAAUGUCAGCUUCUAACCGAUUCAUAUCCUUAACAAUUUGACCUCAAAUCAGGUAGGACUACCCGCUGAACUUAAGCAUAUCAAUAAGCGGAGGCU